rnacentral:rRNA from 4 species
UACUGCGGAGGACAUUA